rnacentral:lncRNA from 1 species
GUCUUCCACGCCUGCCGCCGCCUCGGCUUAUCAGGGCCAGGAGCCAGGUCACAGCAAUCAGAGUCCCUUGGCUCUCCAGGUCUCUGGGGUCAAGCUCAGAGUAGCCGGCGUAGCAAAAUAGUAUUUCUUUGGUUUUUGUCUUAAAAUUUUCUAUAGGUUUUGCUUUCUGCUUUAUAAGAUACUGUUUGUUUAAGAGAAAAUGCUUUAAAAUUCUCACCAAAUGACUGAGUUUUGAAAAUUGAGAGCUGGGAAGAUGGUCCAUAGCUGUCCUGUGACUCAGGUGGGGCCAGGCCUACUCGGCACAUCUCCAUCCCUCCUCCUUCAGGGGCUGCUUACUUUAUUUUUUAAAAGCCAGGGUUUGAAACUUCCUCAGACAACUUUCCCAAAGUUGUGAGCAUUUCCUCACGGGUUCCUGUGGCCUCAUGUCCCACCUCCUUGCCCAGCGGCUGGGGCGUGUGUGGCUUAGUGCCCAGCACUUGGUCAGCUUUCAGCACAUGUCAGGCCUGGUGCCGUCUCCACCCCGCCUCCUCCGUCCAUCCUGUUUUGCAUCCUUACAUUGCUUUACCCAUGCCUCUCGACUGUUAAUUACUAGCAGGCCGUACGUGCCCUGAAUGAAUAGAAAGUUAUAUUUUCUUCAGACCUUUAAUAGAGUCCACCAGCCAAUCAGGGUUGCUCAGAGACCGUCUUCGGGAACUCAGCGCUCCGGUGGUUACCUGUUGAAAGUUCCUUCUUUGCUUCACAGCUACUGCCGGUGACCCCAACCCACCCACCCCCAGCUUUUCUGGGAAUACACCUCGAGGUGCUCCAGGUGCCACAGGCUGAUCUCCAGCCAUGAGGUUUCACCACCGCUCUCCAACUUUGUACAGCUUUAUAGGCACACGUGCACAGCUCUCCUACGUCGUUGUAAUCAUUGGUUUUGAGGCAACUUAGGACGACUUAUACACGUUGUGUAUUUUAACAUACUUCUUCCUGGAACUUUGAGCUGUAGAAAAUUUCAGCGAGUUUUAAGGCUUUUUUUGUUUUUGUUUUUGUUUUCCCUUACAGAGAGCCUAUUCUCUCCAGAAACCUAGGCUGGCCUUAGAAAAAUGAUUUGGUACUGGAGUGAGUAUCCCUGAUGAUGCAUCUCGUGUUUUUAGGCAAAGCUAAAUUAGAAUCUUCUAGACAACUUUGUGUACUCUGGGUGUUACCUUGCUUUCUUCGUUGCUCCUUUUGUGUCACACCAGUUUUUUCAUUUCCCGAGAAUGUGUUAAUAAGGCAGUGACAAUGUCUAUUUCCACAAAUUUGGGGCGGGCUCAUCAUUUAUUGGACCCAUUGGUUAAGUUGUCAAACCGGCCUUUUGACUGGCCUGCUUUUGUUGAACAAUGACCUCUUGGCCAUCAGCGGUCAGUCUACUUUGUGUGGCAGACAGAGACUUAGUUAUAGAAGAGAAAAGCAAUGGUCACACCCUCAUCUCCCCAGGUUAUUACAGAUUUCUAAAACCAAGGACCACUUUGUUUUGGCUGCAUUCCAACCCCAGUGCUUUGGAACUUGACAUCAAAGGGAUUGUUGAAUUUGCCUUAUUACUGUCUCAAGAACCUUUUAAACGAGCAUUGUAGGAAGAUUAAGAAAUGAUAACUUAUUCUCCUCCUUGGCACAACAUCCAAGUGUGGGUUGUUUUUUCAUCUUUUCUUUGGGACACUCCAGUUAAGUCCAUUCCAAAGAAGAAAAGGAAGAGUUCCUGUUACUCAGCUGAGUUCCCCUUAGAAGGAAGUGAGCUUUUAGACUGUGGCACCGGGGCCUUCCUUUCGUUCACACACGUGGUGACAAAAUGCUUCCCUCCAAGAAAGGACCCUGUGUUUGCUGCCCGUGGGAUCAAUGCCCUCUUCCCAGGCACUGGCUCUGCUCGAACGCCCCGAUGACAACACACUCAGCUCCCAGACUAUAGCGCCGACAACAAAGGGAAGCAGGUCCCAGUAUGUAGAGCGCACUGGAAAACCCAGCUCUCCGUGCCCUUUCCCUGGAGGUCAAGACACCCUUGGCCCAAACUUCUGAGUGUUUAUUCUCUCCUUCCCACUUCCCAAGGUCGCUUUAGCAUGGAUUUGUGUUCUCAAAACAUGGUAUUUGCCUGUAUUUACCUACAACGAACACUCAAUAUAAGACCGAAGUAAAGGGGGCCAGCCCGGUGGCACAGUGGUUAAGUUCGCACGUUCUGCCUCUCGGUGGCCUGGGGUUCGCCGGUUCGAAUCCCGGGUGCGGACAUGCCACCGCUUGGCACACCAUGCUGUGGUAGGCAUCCCACGUAUAAAGAAGAGGAAGAUGAGCACAGAUGUUAGCUCAGGGCCAGGCUUCCUCAGCAAAAAAGAGGAGGACUAGCAGGAGUUAGCUCAAGGCUAAUCUUCCUCAAAAAAAAAAAAGUUAAAAAAAAAGACUGAAGUAAAUUGGGAAGGAGAACUAUUCAUUAAACAUACACACGCAAAUUUUAUUGACUAGAAAUUAAUGUUCCCCAAAAGGAAAUUGCAGUCUUAGUAGGUUAACUUUAUUGUUGGAAUGAUUAGCUUUGACUAACUCCCAAGAUUAAGUUUCAACCUAUUUAGCAGAGAAGAAAAGUUAUGGUGCAACAAGUGUAAAUAACAUGCUAUGAAAUUUCAUCCUAACUUUUUCAAAAGCAGGUCCUUCCAAAGAGCUGUCAGUAAACCAUGUAGGAAGGAAGACAAGUUUAUAGAUUCUCUUCUGUCUGGAAGAAGUGAGAUGUCAAGCUUUGCGAUGGUGUCAGGCUGCCAUCUAAGAUUUGGCAGAUCUGGCUGUUAUAACCUUUGUGUAGCUGAAAAUGUAACAAAGAGAAUUUUCAGAAAAUGUAAACAUUAAAGAAACUGACUAUUCAGUAGACACCUUGUAGCAGCAAGACUAAUAAUUGACGGUACACUAAAAAUUUGUAACUUCUAAAAGAGCCAUGUAUUUCCACUCUACCCUCUGUUAACCUGGCUUAUGUUUUUCGACUUAUUGAAGAAAAUCAGUACCAAAAAAUUUGAUAUUAAAA